UACGGGGGGGGCAAGCGUUGUUCGGAAUUACUGGGCGUAAAGGGCUCGUAGGUGGCCAACUAAGUCAGACGUGAAAUCCCUCGGCUUAACCGGGGAACUGCGUCUGAUACUGGAUGGCUGGAGAUUGGGAGAGGGAUGCGGAAUUCCAGGUGUAGCGGUGAAAUGCGUAGAUAUCUGGAGGAAUACCGGUGGCGAAGGCGGCAUCCUGGACCAUUACUGACGCUGAGGCGCGAAAGCUAGGGGAGCAAACGGG
rnacentral:rRNA from 1 species